GGGGAUGUAACUUAGUGGUAGAGCACUUGCCUAACAUACACAAAGCCCUGAGUUCAAUCCCCAGCACCCCUG
rnacentral:tRNA from 1 species